rnacentral:lncRNA from 1 species
AAAGAGUAGUCGACUUGAAUGCAGGAGAAGGAGGCUUUAAUUGCUGGGAAGAUGUAGUUGGAAGCAGUAAAUGCAGAUCUUCCUCUUUUUCGUUGAAGAGCACGUUGCAGAGCUUGAAUGCUUGAUUAGUUGGAGUGGAAUAGUUGUUCUCUCCCUUGCUACAGUCCUCUGUGGCUAUUUAAGCCAACCCCCACGGAAACUAGCCGUUAGAGUGCUUUUUCUGUCCGUUCUGAACACUCUGCGCAGCCUGACAAUAUGACCGUUGGUGGGUUGGAGUCGACUCGCGCGAUCAGGAGU